UGAUGUAUAGCUCAGUGGUAGAGAGCCUGCCUAGCAUGCAUGAGGCCUUGGGUUCAGUUUCAAGUACCUUAA
rnacentral:tRNA from 1 species